GACGAACGCUGGUGGCGUGCUUAACACAUGCUAGUCGAACGGAAAGGCCCUCGCUUGCUAGGGUGCUCGAUGUGGCGAACGUGGUGAGCUAACACGCUGGAGUGAUCAUGCCCAUGCUACUUCGCGGAUAAUGCUUGGAGAAACUGGCGUCUAAUACCGGAUAGGAGCCAUCUUUAGUGUGGUGGUUGGAAAGUUUUUUCGGUGUAAGAUGAGCUCGCGACCUAUCAGCUUGUUGGUGGGGUAAUGCCCUACCAAGGCGGCGACCGCUAGCCGGCCUGAGAGGGUGUACGGCCACAUUGGGACUGAGAUACGGCCCAUACUCCUACGGGAGGCAGCAUUGGGGAAUAUUGCUCAAUGGGCGCAAGCCUGAUGCAGCGACCCCGCGUGGGGGAUGAAGGCCUUCGGGUUGUAAACUCCUUUCUCUAGGGACCAAGCUUUUUGCGACGGUACCUAGAUAAGAAGCACCGGCUAACUACGUGCCAUCAGCCGCGGUAAUACGUAGGGUGCGAGCGUUGCCCGGAAUUACUGUCCGUAAAGGGCUCGUAGGUGGCUUGUCGCAUCGUCUGUGAAAUUCUGGGGCUUACCUCCCGGCGUGCACGCCAUACUGGCAUAACUUCGACUGCUGUAGGGGUAACUGGAAUUCCUGGUGUAGCGGUGAAAUGCGCAGAUAUCAGGAGGAACACCGAUGGCGAAGGCAGGUUACUGGGCAGUUACUGACGCUGAGGAGCGAAAGCAUGGGUAGCGAACAGGAUUAGAUACCCUGGUAGUCCAUGCCGUAAACGGUGGGCGCUAGGUGUGAGGGUCUUUCUACGACUUUCGUGCCGUAGCUAAACGCAUUAAGCGCCCCGCCUGGGGAGUACGGCCGCAAGGCUAAAACUCAAAGGAAUCGACGGGGGCCCGCACAAGCGGCGGAGCAUGUGGAUUAAUUCGAUGCAACGCGAAGAACCUUACCUGGGCUUGACAUACAUCAGAUCGCUGCAGAGAUGUAGUUUCCCUUUGUGGUUGGUGUACAGGUGGUGCAUGGUUGUCGUCAGCUCGUGUCGUGAGAUGUUGGGUUAAGUCCCGCAACGAGCGCAACCCUUGUCUUAUGUUGCCAGCAUUUGGUUGGGGACUCAUGAGAGACUGCCGGGGUUAACUCGGAGGAAGGUGGGGAUGACGUCAAAUCAUCAUGCCCCUUAUGUCCAGGGCUUCACACAUGCUACAAUGGUCGGUACAACGCGCUGCGACACUGUGAGGUGGAGCGAAUCGCUGAAAGCCGGCCUUAGUUCGGAUUGGGGUCUGCAACUCGACCCCAUGAAGUCGGAGUCGCUAGUAAUCGCAGAUCAGCAAUGCUGCGGUGAAUACGUUCCCGGGCCU
rnacentral:rRNA from 1 species